UAAAAUUCAAAUGUUCUCACCACAAAAAAAUGAUUAUGCAAGCCUGGGCAACAAGGCAAGACCCUGUCUCUACAAAAAAAUAAAAAAAAGUAGACAAGUGCAGUGGUUUAUGCCUGUGGCCCCAGCUACAUGGGAGGCUGAGGCAGGAGGAUUGUUUGAUCCAAGGAGGUGAGGCUACAAUGAACUCUGCUCACAUCAUUGCACUCCCGCCUGGGUGACAGAGCAAGAGCUUGUCUCAAAAAAGAAAAAAAAAGUAAGCAUUUGAGGUGAUUGAUAUGUUAAACAGCUUGAUUUAAUCAGUCUGCACUGUAUACAUAUGUCAUAACAUCACUUUGUACCUCAUAAAUGUAUACAAUUGUAAUUUGUCAAUUUAUAAUAAAACAAUUAAAAAUCACAUUUAAAAACGUAAAAGACUACUUGGGUAUCAGUGUCGCUGUGUAGGUCAUCAGAGCUUUCUCCUAUGCUGUAGAUGUCCCUCAUUGGAGUGAAGAGGCUGGGGAGCUGUGAAUGGGUUUUUUGGUUGCUUCCUGAAAGGCUCAGAAGCUGAAACUAGGCCAGGCACGUAUGAGCCUUCUUGAUUGGCCACAUGUCCUUAGGCUUUUCCUUGAGUCAUCUUGAUAGAUGUCGCACUGAAAGGCGCCAGGAAAAAGGCGGCCUGGUCGAUACCUGUCUGGCUACCUGGGAGUUGGAGCGAUGCCCACAGCUGUGUCAAUAGCAGCCUGGAGGUUGGAAAAUCACCAGCAGUUCAGCUCCCCACACUCCACUCAUGCUCACUGGGAACAUUCCCCACAGUUCCAUCUUUGGUCUCCUUGCUGUUCACUCUGCAUAAUUCCUAAACCAGCAAUUCCUUUCUGACCUCUUGCCUGGAUCUCCUGGACCAGAAACCUUCAACACAUCCCUCCUCCCUCUACCUCACCCAAGGGUGUCAGUCUUUCUUCUCAAUACAGCCCAUUCCCAUCUCCACUGCUAGGCCAGCCUCUUCAUUUGUGCACAGAAAGCCUAACAGCAUCCACAUUUCUCCAGUUGACCUAUUCCUGGGGGCUCCUGUACCUUACGCCAUUCAUGACGCAGGAAUCCUACCAGUCCUAUCAAGCCACACCUCCUUCGUGAAGGC
rnacentral:lncRNA from 10 species